rnacentral:rRNA from 1 species
ACGAACGCUGGCGGCGUGCUUAACACAUGCAAGUCGAACGGAAAGGCCCUGCUUUUGUGGGGUGCUCGGGUGGCGAACGGGUGAGUAACACGUGAGUAACCUGCCCUUGACUUUGGUAUAACUUCAGGAAACUGGGGCUAAUACCGGAUAGGAGCUCCUGCUGCCUGGUGGGGGUUGGAAAGUUUCGGCGGUUGGGGAUGGACUCACGGCUUAUCAGCUUGUUGGUGGGGGAGUGGCUUACCAAGGCUUUGACGGGUAGCCGGCCUGAGAGGGUGACCGGCCACAUUGGGACUGAGAUACGGCCCAGACUCCUACGGGAGGCAGCAGUGGGGAAUAUUGCACAAUGGGCGGAAGCCUGAUGCAGCAACGCCGCGUGCGGGAUGACGGCCUUCGGGUUGUAAACCGCUUUCGCCUGUGACGAAGCGUGAGUGACGGUAAUGGGUAAAGAAGCACCGGCUAACUACGUG